CACGUAGGGCGCAAGCGUUGUCCGGAAUUAUUGGGCGUAAAGAGCUCGUAGGCGGUCUGUUGCGUCUGCUGUGAAAACUCGGGGCUUAACCCCGAGCCUGCAGUGGAUACGGGCAGACUAGAGGUAGGUAGGGGAGAAUGGAAUUCCCGGUGUAGCGGUGAAAUGCGCAGAUAUCGGGAGGAACACCGGUGGCGAGGCGGUUCUCUGGGCCGCAACUGACGCUGAGGAGCGAAAGCAUGGGGAGCGAACAGG
rnacentral:rRNA from 1 species